rnacentral:lncRNA from 1 species
CCGUCUGAUGUAUCUCAAGUAAGAAUGCUAGCCUGAUAUGGUUAUUCUUGAGAGAUAAAAAAUACCACAAUCACUGGACUCUUCAAGAUGCUACUCCAGAGUCAGAUUCAAAUGAUACUUACAUUCAGCUGAUACACUGAACUUUCUUCUCUUCAACUGUAAAGUCUUUUCGAAAGUGGUUCUCGAAUAAGAGACCGCGUGAAUUCUCUCUCACAGUGCUGAAUGAUGCGCGUGCGUAAUCCUUUGUUUCAAGAUUUUUGGGAGAUUAGCACUUGAAUCCCUUGUCCAUCUAUGCCUUGUAAUCUGAAAUCAGGAUUUUGGAGAGAAUGAGCG